rnacentral:rRNA from 1 species
AUUGAACGCUGGCGGCAGGCCUAACACAUGCAAGUCGAGCGGAGCGGCGGACGGGUGAGUAAUGCCUAGGAAUCUGCCUGGUAGUGGGGGAUAAGGUCGGGAAAGGGGCGCUAUUACGGAAAACUAUCAGAUAAGCCUGGGUCGGAUUGGCUGGUGGGGGGGGUAAAGGCCUACCAAGGCGACGAUCCGUAACUGGUCUGAGAGGAUGAUCAGUCACACUGGAACUGAGACACGGUCCAGACUCCUACGGGAGGCAGCAGUGGGGAAUAUUGGACAAUGGGCGAAAGCCUGAUCCAGCCAUGCCGCGUGUGUGAAGAAGGUCUUCGGAUUGUAAAGCACUUUAAGUUGGGAGGCGUUACCAACAGAAUAAGCACCGGCUAACUUCGUGCCAGCAGCCGCGGUAAUAC